GUUCGCUUCCUUAGAUGCUAUCAACACCACCUCAUUCGACGCAGAUCAGUACAUGAAUCUCUUGGCGCAAAAAUCAAAUUUGGAAGGGCUUUUGCAGAAGCAUGUGGAAAUGGCGGCUGA